rnacentral:rRNA from 1 species
AGCGAACGCUGGCGGCAGGCUUAACACAUGCAUGUCGAGCGGGCGUAGCAAUACGCCAGCGGCAGACGGGUGAGUAACGCGUGGGAACGUACCUUUUGGUUCGGAACAACACAGGGAAACUUGUGCUAAUACCGGAUAAGCCCUUGCGGGGAAAGAUUUAUCGCCGAAAGAUCGGCCCGCGUCUGAUUAGCUAGUUGGUAGGGUAAUGGCCUACCAAGGCGACGAUCAGUAGCUGGUCUGAGAGGAUGAUCAGCCACAUUGGGACUGAGACACGGCCCAAACUCCUACGGGAGGCAGCAGUGGGGAAUAUUGGACAAUGGGGGCAACCUUGAUCCAGCCAUGCCGCGUGAGUGAUGAAGGCCCUAGGGUUGUAAAGCUCUUUUGUGCGGGAAGAUAAUGACGGUACCGCAAGAAUAAGCCCCGGCUAACUUCGUGCCAGCCGCCGCCGUAA